ACUUAAAUAGCUUAUAUAGAGUAUAAUAGUGAAGUUAUUAUGGAAAUUUUUAAUUUUUAAGUA
rnacentral:tRNA from 1 species